rnacentral:rRNA from 1 species
UUGGCCUUGACAUACUAAGAACUUUCCAGAGAUGGAUUGGUGCCUUCGGGAACUUAGAUACAGGUGCUGCAUGGCUGUCGUCAGCUCGUGUCGUGAGAUGUUGGGUUAAGUCCGCAACGAGCGCAACCCUUUUCCUUAUUUGCCAGCGGGUCAUGCCGGGAACUUUAAGGAUACUGCCAGUGACAAACUGGAGGAAGGCGGGGACGACGUCAAGUCAUCAUGGCCCUUACGGCCAGGGCUACACACGUGCUACAAUGGUCGGUACAAAGGGUUGCUACCUCGCGAGAGGAUGCUAAUCUCAAAAAGCCGAUCGUAGUCCGGAUCGCAGUCUGCAACUCGACUGCGUGAAGUCGGAAUCGCUAGUAAUCGCGGAUCAGAAUGCCGCGGUGAAUACGUUCCCGGGCCUUGUACACACCGCCCGUCACACCAUGGGGGUUUGUUGCACCAGAAGUAGGUAGUCUAACCGCAAGGAGGACGCUUACCACGGUGUGGCCGAUGACUGGGGUGAAGUCGUAACAAGGUAAGCGUAGAUGA